AAAGUGUCGAUAAAUGAAUGUUUAUCCUGAUGAGUCUAAAAUGACGAAACACACG
rnacentral:hammerhead_ribozyme from 25 species